rnacentral:rRNA from 1 species
GUGGGGAAUUUUGGACAAUGGGCGCAAGCCUGAUCCAGCAAUGCCGCGUGCAGGAUGAAGGCCUUCGGGUUGUAAACUGCUUUUGUACGGAACGAAAAGCCCUGGGUUAAUACCCUGGGGUCAUGACGGUACCGUAAGAAUAAGCACCGGCUAACUACGUGCCAGCAGCCGCGGUAAUACGUAGGGUGCGAGCGUUAAUCGGAAUUACUGGGCGUAAAGCGUGCGCAGGCGGUUUUGUAAGACAGAGGUGAAAUCCCCGGGCUCAACCUGGGAACUGCCUUUGUGACUGCAAGGCUGGAGUACAGCAGAGGGGGAUGGAAUUCCGCGUGUAGCAGUGAAAUGCGUAGAUAUGCGGAGGAACACCGAUGGCGAAGGCAAUCCCCUGGGCCUGUACUGACGCUCAUGCACGAAAGCGUGGGGAGCAAACAGGAUUAGAUACCCCGGUAGUCC